rnacentral:rRNA from 1 species
GGGGAAUUUUCCGCAAUGGGCGAAAGCCUGACGGAGCAAUACCGCGUGAGGGAGGAAGGUUCUUGGAUUGUAAACCUCUUUUCUCAGAGAAGAAUAAUGACGGUAUCUGAGGAAUAAGCAUCGGCUAACUCCGUGCCAGCAGCCGCGGUAAUACGGAGGAUGCAAGCGUUAUCCGGAAUGAUUGGGCGUAAAGGGUCUGUAGGUGGUUGUUCAAGUCUGCUGUUAAAGCGUCUGGCUUAACCAGAUAAAGGCGGUGGAAACUGAACGACUAGAGUGCGGUAGGGGUAGAGGGAAUUCCCAGUGUAGCGGUGAAAUGCGUAGAUAUUGGGAAGAACACCUGUGGCGAAAGCGCUCUACUGGACCGCGACUGACACUGAUGGACGAAAGCUAGGGGAGCGAAUGGGAUUAGAUACCCCAGUAGUCCUAGCCGUAAACGAUGGAUACUAGGCGUUGCCCGUAUCGACCCGGGCAGUGUCGUAGCUAACGCGUUAAGUAUCCCGCCUGGGGAGUACGCACGCAAGUGUGAAACUCAAAGGAAUUGACGGGGACCCGCACAAGCGGUGGAGUAUGUGGUUUAAUUCGAUGCAACGCGAAGAACCUUACCAGGGCUUGACAUGUCCGGAAUCCUCUUGAAAGGGAGGAGUGCCUUCGGGAGCCGGAGCACAGGUGGUGCAUGGCUGUCGUCAGCUCGUGUCGUGAGAUGUUGGGUUAAGUCCCGCGACGAGCGCAACCCUCGUUUUUAGUUGCCAGCAUUAAGUUGGGCACUCUAAAGAGACUGCCGAUGAUAAAUCGGAGGAAGGUGGGGAUGACGUCAAGUCUUCAUGCCCCUUACACCCUGGGCUACACACGUACUACAAUGCUGUGGACAAAGGGCUGCAAACCAGCGAUGGCAAGCAAAUCCCGUAAACCACGGCUCAGUUCAGAUCGCAGGCUGCAACUCGCCUGCGUGAAGGUGGAAUCGCUAGUAAUUCCAGAUCAGCAUUGCUGGGGUGAAUUCGUUCCCGGGUCUUGUACACACCGCCCGUCACACCAUGGAAGUUGGUUUUGCCCGAAGUCGUUAUUCCAACCGUUCGCGGAGGGAAACGCCGAAGGCAGGGCUGAUGACUGGGGUGAAGUCGUAACAAGGUAGCCGUACCGGAAGGUGUGGCUGGAUCACCUCCU